rnacentral:rRNA from 1 species
AGAGUUUGAUCCUGGCUCAGAGUGAACGCUGGCGGCGUGCCUAAUACAUGCAAGUCGAACGAUGAAGCUUCUAGCUUGCUAGAAUGCUGAUUAGUGGCGCACGGGUGAGUAACGCAUAGGUCAUGUGCCUCUUAGUUUGGGAUAGCCAUUGGAAACGAUGAUUAAUACCAGAUACUCCCUACGGGGGAAAGAUUUAUCGCUAAGAGAUCAGCCUAUGUCCUAUCAGCUUGUUGGUAAGGUAAUGGCUUACCAAGGCUAUGACGGGUAUCCGGCCUGAGAGGGUGAACGGACACACUGGAACUGAGACACGGUCCAGACUCCUACGGGAGGCAGCAGUAGGGAAUAUUGCUCAAUGGGGGAAACCCUGAAGCAGCAACGCCGCGUGGAGGAUGAAGGUUUUAGGAUUGUAAACUCCUUUUGUUAGAGAAGAUAAUGACGGUAUCUAACGAAUAAGCACCGGCUAACUCCGUGCCAGCAGCCGCGGUAAUACGGAGGGUGCAAGCGUUACUCGGAAUCACUGGGCGUAAAGAGCGCGUAGGCGGGAUAGUCAGUCAGGUGUGAAAUCCUAUGGCUUAACCAUAGAACUGCAUUUGAAACUACUAUUCUAGAGUGUGGGAGAGGUAGGUGGAAUUCUUGGUGUAGGGGUAAAAUCCGUAGAGAUCAAGAGGAAUACUCAUUGCGAAGGCGACCUGCUGGAACAUUACUGACGCUGAUUGCGCGAAAGCGUGGGGAGCAAACAGGAUUAGAUACCCUGGUAGUCCACGCCCUAAACGAUGGAUGCUAGUUGUUGGAGGGCUUAGUCUUUCCAGUAAUGCAGCUAACGCAUUAAGCAUCCCGCCUGGGGAGUACGGUCGCAAGAUUAAAACUCAAAGGAAUAGACGGGGACCCGCACAAGCGGUGGAGCAUGUGGUUUAAUUCGAAGAUACACGAAGAACCUUACCUAGGCUUGACAUUGAGAGAAUCCGCUAGAAGUAGUGGAGUGUCUGGCUUGCCAGACCUUGAAAACAGGUGCUGCACGGCUGUCGUCAGCUCGUGUCGUGAGAUGUUGGGUUAAGUCCCGCAACGAGCGCAACCCCCUUUCUUAGUUGCUAACAGGUUAUGCUGAGAACUCUAAGGAUACUGCCUCCGUAAGGAGGAGGAAGGUGGGGACGACGUCAAGUCAUCAUGGCCCUUACGCCUAGGGCUACACACGUGCUACAAUGGGGUGCACAAAGAGAAGCAAUACUGCGAAGUGGAGCCAAUCUUCAAAACACCUCUCAGUUCGGAUUGUAGGCUGCAACUCGCCUGCAUGAAGCUGGAAUCGCUAGUAAUCGCAAAUCAGCCAUGUUGCGGUGAAUACGUUCCCGGGUCUUGUACUCACCGCCCGUCACACCAUGGGAGUUGUGUUUGCCUUAAGUCAGGAUGCUAAAUUGGCUACUGCCCACGGCACACACAGCGACUGGGGUGAAGUCGUAACAAGGUAACCGUAGGUGAACCUGCGGUUG